rfam:Schistosoma haematobium scaffold631_19, whole genome shotgun sequence.
AUCCAGCUGACGAGUCUCAAAUAGGACGAAACGCGUGUCCUGGAU